rnacentral:misc_RNA from 1 species
AAAUAAUAAAAUAAAUACUGCUGAAAUGUGAAAGGAAGAUUCUUUCCACAAACAUCCUUGAGUAAUUCCAUGGUGAUCCAGAGAUAAAACAGUCUUAUGCUCCUUCGAAUACAGUAAACGGCACAAAAUUGUGAACGUCAAAUGAAUGUUUUGUCUUGAUAAUGAUUGGCCCAAAUAUUCCUGGGAACACGACAAAAGAUGAGUUCUCAUUACUUCAGUUGGGUCAGCGCAUAGAAUGCAGUGGUUCAUAUGGAACUGUGAAGUACAUUGGAGAAGUGCCACCAACUAAAGGAAUAUGGCUGGGUAUUGACUGGGAUGAGCCACAUAGAGGAAAGCAUGAUGGAAUGUACAAUGAUGUUAGAUAUUUCAAGGCAAGGUUUCCUCAGUCAGGAUCCUUCAUUCGCCCAGCCAAAGCUAACUUUGGAGUCAGUUGCCCUGAAGCAAUCAGGGAACGAUACGGAGAAGUGAAAGGAGAUGAAACUGCUGGAAUUGACAGGAAAGGAUUGGAACUCUUACAAAAGGAAAUCAAUGCUAGAUUUCUGGAAGUAGUGGGGUUUGACAAGGUUAAUAGACAACAGAGUGAUUUCAGUAAACUUCAAGUUGUAUGGUUAAGGGAACAUCAAGUGAGCACUGCUGGUAGUCCAGGUGAGCUAUUCCAACUAUGUCCAAGAAUUCGGGAGCUUGAUCUCUCAAGGAAUCUGCUGAAUAACUGGACAGCAGUGGCCGAAAUAGCUAUUCAACUACAGUUCCUGCGGAUACUGAAUGUUAGUGAGAAUCACUUAGUGAUACCAGAUGAUGCUUUAUCUCUGAAGUCAUCAUUUCUAUCAUUGGAACAUAUCAUAGUUGGAAAAAUGUCAUACUCCUGGUGUGAUGUAUUGAUUUGUGCCACCAUGUGGCCUCAUAUCCAUAAGUUGCAGGUACCCUUCAACUGCAUAACGACUUUAAGCAGUCCCCCCCCAAAUAUUCUACAGAACCUCCGACUUUUAGAUUUGGAAGGAAAUAAAAUUAGACACUGGCAUGAAAUCAACAAACUUGGUAAACUUAAUACGUUAGAAGUUUUGAACAUCUCAAACACAGGUGUGAGUGAUAUUGCCUUCCCGCUGGAGAAUGAACAACAGAAGACUGAACUUUUUCCAUCAUUAAAACAGCUGCAUCUUUCAGAGAAUAACAUCAGUGAUUGGAAGUAUAUCAGUGAACUGGAAAAACUAAAAAGCCUAGAAGACCUCAAGUUCAGAGACAACCCGGUUUUACAGCAUGAAACUGUGGAAACAUGUUUUCAGCUCAUAAUAGCUAGAAUUGGCAAUUUAAAGAUUCUGAAUGGAAUAUCAGUAACACCAGAAGAGAGGAGAGGAGCUGAAUAUGACUAUAUGAAGCGUCAUGCUCACUCAUGGCUGUCUCUGACAAGUAAUUCGGAGAAAAAAGAACAGCUGAAUGAAUUUACUUUACACCACCCUCGUUACCAAUACCUAGUUGACAGCAGAAUAUGGAGCACCUGAAAAUGGAGAAACUGAAGUUACAUCCCAUACAUUAAAGUCACAACUGAUUCUUGUAGAAAUUCAUGUUCCAGAAAGUAAACACCAACCUAUAACAAAGAGAGUUCCUAGAAACAUGACAGUUCAGAAGUUUAAAGGAUUGAUACAAAAAUUAUUUAAAUUAGAAAAUGAAAUUUCUCAGCUGUCUUGCAG